rnacentral:rRNA from 1 species
AUUGAACGCUGGCGGCAUGCUUUACACAUGCAAGUCGAACGGGAACAGGCCUUCGGGUGCUGACGAGUGGCGAACGGGUGAGUAAUGCAUCGGAACGUACCCAGAGGUGGGGGAUAACGCAGCGAAAGCUGUGCUAAUACCGCAUGUGAUCUGAGGAUGAAAGCGGGGGACCGAGCAGCAAUGUUUGGCCUCGCGCCUUUGGAGCGGCCGAUGUCGGAUUAGCUAGUUGGUGGGGUAAAGGCCUACCAAGGCGACGAUCCGUAGCUGGUCUGAGAGGACGACCAGCCACACUGGGACUGAGACACGGCCCAGACUCCUACGGGAGGCAGCAGUGGGGAAUUUUGGACAAUGGGCGCAAGCCUGAUCCAGCAAUGCCGCGUGCGGGAAGAAGGCCUUCGGGUUGUAAACCGCUUUUGGCCGGAACGAAACGGUGUCCGCUAAUACCGGGCGCUAAUGACGGUACCUGCAGAAUAAGCACCGGCUAACUACGUG